UGUGUGUGUGUGUGUGUGUGAAUGGGGAUAGAAAAUUCUCUGUGUGUGCGCGCGCACGCUUUAAUAUUCCAAUUGGAACUUAUUUAUUUUUCCUAUUUUAUCUAGGACUUAGUUUUUUAUUCUAUUUAGGAUUUUUUUUUCCUUUUUCAAUUAAGAUUUAGUUUUUCCUAUUUUAUUUCAAAAUUUUUGUCGUAAAUAGAAUAUUCUAGCGAAUUCGAAGGUUCUGCGGAUAAGAGAAUGGGGAUAGAAAAUUCUUUGUGUGUGUGUGUGUGUG
rnacentral:misc_RNA from 1 species